AGAACCUCAAUAUAAGAUUUUAUUUUGCAAAAACUUCAAAAGCAAUAGAAAAAAUAGGCCUUGGUACAAUUUGACUCUGGUUACAAGCUUCAAUUUGCCAAGAUUUGUCCAUUGCUUCCACAAACUUGAACGUUCUUCUAUUCUAUAAAAGAAACUGUAAGUGAAUUUCACGUGCAACUAAUAAAUAGAAUGCUUCUAUUUUCAUCACACCUUCAAACUUGGCAACACAAGUAGUAUUAAAGAAAGUGCAACUCUUAGUUUUAUGUACAUUGUAUGGCCUUUCUAUUCAUAGUUUUGACACUUCUUUCAUUUUAUAAGCAGAAACCAGAGAAGAUUAGUACAAAUGUAAACUAGAGUGAAUGUGGGAGGUUCUGCAUUUUAUCUCCAGUAAAUGAUUCCUCGCCAUUACUCAGAUAGCUCAGAGCUGACAUCCUGUAGAGACAGGUGAACACGAGGAUAUGUAACCCAAUGGUGUAGAAAAAUGCAAAAGCUCGAGCAUACUUGUUGCCCAGAAGGAAACGUCCACUACUAAGUGUGAUUCUGUCCCUGAAACCUAAUUCCUUGUAUCUUUGAUCUCUUUCCUUCUUCGAAAACGCAGCAAAUGGAUUUAUAUCAUCUUCAUAUAUCUUCUUGUACUUGGACUCAACGUCUGAGCUGAAGCCACUUUCCAAAUCCUCUGCUUGCUUCUUAGAUCCCCUAGAAACUACUUUCUCAAGAUUGUAAUCCUGGACAUAACGUAUCUUGCCAUAUAGUUUGACAUUAUCAGCUUUUGUCUUCUCCAGCUCUGCCGUUAAGAUCCCUAUCUUCUCUUUCAAUUGCCUUACCUCUUCUUCCGUCUCUCGCAAACGUGUCCUGAAUCGAUCUCGUUGAUUGCAGAUAACCUUGAGCAUUGAGUUCUGGUCUUGAUCUGACAAUACAUGUUUCUGGUCUGCAUUCUCAGUUAACUCAGCACCCCCAGCCUCUGAAAGAUCCCAAUCAUCAAAUAGACCACCUUUUCGAUCUUUAGAACUUCAAUAUAUCAUCUUCCAGCUUUUGUAUUAACUUUUGUUGUUCCUUAACUUUUGCAGUAAGCUCUGCUAUCUUGCCUUCGGCUGUUUCCAGCAAAGACACUUUCUCAGAUAGUUUAACCUUUGACUGUGUGAGUUCAUGCUCCAUUUUCCGAUUCUUAUCCAGAAGAAGAGACUCCAGUUUGCUCAUCUCUUCCCCAGUAGUAGCUACUUCCCAAUCUUCAGCCUCAGUUGAAUUGUAGCCCACAGCCUGCAGAAUUUUCACUUUUUUACGCAAAUCAUCAACUAAUUUUGCAGUUGGCCUCGCAUGAAGCUCUUUCUUCAUCUCCUCAAGAGCAAGUUCCUUCUCAUUGAGUGCCAUGUUCAACUUUUUGAACUCAUUCAUGUGCUGUUCUCGCUCAUUUGUCAAGGUGGUUUCAAUAUUGUGGAGUUCCAUGUUCAGUUCAGAUAUAAUCUUCUCUUUCGCACUCAAAGAAUUCUCAAGAAAACUAUUUGAAUCCACACUGUCACUAUUCUUACUUCCUGUCUCUUCAUUUGCUGAUUGCAACUGAGAACGGAGGAGACCUUAUAAGGCUUUAUACACUCCAGUGGGAGCAUAAAUAGAUACUGUCAUUUGAAGACCAUUGAUUCCACUAUCCACAAUGAAAAGUGAAUGACACCAUUCUUCCUAGCAUAUUUAGGAUGCUAACAAAGGUGCAAGGCUGCAAGCACCUACAACCAACCAGAAUUAUUCUUAAACAACAUCAGGAGAGCAUCUAACAUGAAAAAUCGAACAAUAGAAGAAGAAGAACAAGAAGAAGCAACUAUUCUAAGUCUUGAAGGGGGGCAAAAACAUGAGGGGAUCAGAGAAAAGCAGGUUAACCAACUGUGAAACAGACCUUUUCUCUCUCAAGGCUAAGAAGUCGCGUUUGAGCCCUUUCCACUUCAUCCAUCAAAAGAUUGACCUCUGACUGUUUUGCGGCCCUUUCUUCCUCUGAUUGAGCACGGACUUCAAACAAUUGGCUUUGUGCAAGUUCAUGCAAUUUCUGCAUGUUGGCAACACUUUCUUUAGCUUGUCGUAAUUGAUCUUGCAAAGACUGCUCCCUUUCUUUUAAAACUUCUAGUGUUUUCUGGUUCUCUUCAGCCAAACUACGCUGUUUCAUCUCCACAAUUUCCUUCACUUUUUCCUCCAUCUGUUGCUCUAAUUGACGAUUACGUUCUUCAAGUCUUCUUAUUGUUGCCUGCUGAUUCUUUAAGCGAGUUGCUUCUGUCCUAAACUCUUCAAGCUCAAUUUUCAUCUUCCGAUUCUCAGAUUCCAGCUCAGACAAUGCCAGAUCUUGCUCAGCUAUUGAUGCAAGAGCUGGAUAAGGAUCUGGAGCCUCAUAUAGCUUCUGAUAUAUAUUCAGAAAAGCAUUUUCUCCAAAUUUUGCUCUCUUGGUAAGAUUAUCAACUUCUUCUUGAUAGCCCUUAAGUAAAGAAUUAAACAAACCCAACUUUUCCUCUGGUGAAGCCUUUUUGAAAUCUCUAGUGCUCUCUGCAAGCUUUCGUCGGUUUUUCAGACUGUUCUCUUGAUUUUCAGCUAUCCUAAGUCCUUGUUCAUCCAACACAGUUUUCUCCUUCUCCAAUUCAAAUUCUUUCCAGAAAUUGGAUACGACGGGAAUGGGAGAAGAGGACUGGUGGUUCGAUUUGUCUCCUCCUUGCGGAGCCUCCAUUUUUCGUAAAUUUGGAUCUCUCCGCUUUAGCUUUUGUAGAUGAUCUGAUUAUACUUGGUUUGAUUAUACUUGGUUUUACUUCAACUUCAAUUCAAGGUGCCAAUUGGGGAUCAAAUGUAGAUGAUCUGAGAAAGGACUUUUAUGUAGAUUUUGGUAAACGAUCCACAAUUUCUCCUGUGCUUCACAAUUUUUUUUGAUGGUGUUUUCAGAAGUAACAGUGGCGUGGCCGUGCAGUGGUCUGGGCCUAACCCGAACCGAAGCUAUCCCUUGUAAUGGGCCUGCCCGUCUCUUCUUAUCUGCGGUCGUUUGAGCCUCAGAAAUGCAAUGAAGCGAAUGACUGUAAAUUGUUUCCCUCCUUGUUGAAGCAAUCAAUUUGUCGAAGCAUUUGCCUCUCAAAAAAUAUGAGUCACACAGGCCUCUCAAUUUAAUUGCAUUAAAUCACAAAUAGCUUGUACUAAGGAUCGACAACACUCCAAAGGUUGGCAAGAUCCAUGGAUCAUAGCUAACAUGGUAAUAUUAUCACACUCUACGAGAACAGAAUCUAACCCUAAAGACUGAGCAAAUAUGAUGCCAUGAAAG
rnacentral:misc_RNA from 1 species